UCUGGCUCAGGACGAACGCUGGCGGCGUGCCUAAUACAUGCAAGUCGAGCGCUGGAAGCUAAUUUCAUCCCUUCGGGAUGAAAUUAGUGGAAAGAGCGGCGGACGGGUGAGUAACACGUGGGCAACCUACCUAUAAGACUGGGAUAACUCGCGGAAACGUGAGCUAAUACCGGAUAAUACUUUUUAUUGCAUAAUAAGAAGUUUGAAAGGCGGCGUAAGCUGUCACUUAUAGAUGGGCCCGCGGCGCAUUAGCUAGUUGGUGAGGUAAAGGCUCACCAAGGCAACGAUGCGUAGCCGACCUGAGAGGGUGAUCGGCCACACUGGGACUGAGACACGGCCCAGACUCCUACGGGAGGCAGCAGUAGGGAAUCUUCCGCAAUGGACGAAAGUCUGACGGAGCAACGCCGCGUGAGUGAAGAAGGUUUUCGGAUCGUAAAACUCUGUUGUUAGGGAAGAACAAGUCAGGUAGUAACUGACCUGACCUUGACGGUACCUAACCAGAAAGCCACGGCUAACUACGUGCCAGCAGCCGCGGUAAUACGUAGGUGGCAAGCGUUGUCCGGAUUUAUUGGGCGUAAAGCGCUCGCAGGCGGUCUUUUAAGUCUGAUGUGAAAGCCCACGGCUUAACCGUGGAGGGUCAUUGGAAACUGGAGGACUUGAGUGCAGAAGAGGAGAGUGGAAUUCCAUGUGUAGCGGUGAAAUGCGUAGAGAUAUGGAGGAACACCAGUGGCGAAGGCGACUCUCUGGUCUGUAACUGACGCUGAGGAGCGAAAGCGUGGGUAGCGAACAGGAUUAGAUACCCUGGUAGUCCACGCCGUAAACGAUGAGUGCUAGGUGUUAGGGGGUUUCCGCCCCUUAGUGCUGAAGUUAACGCAUUAAGCACUCCGCCUGGGGAGUACGGCCGCAAGGCUGAAACUCAAAAGAAUUGACGGGGACCCGCACAAGCGGUGGAGCAUGUGGUUUAAUUCCAAGCAACGCGAAGAACCUUACCAGGUCUUGACAUCCUUUCG
rnacentral:rRNA from 1 species